rnacentral:rRNA from 1 species
AAAUACUCCUGACUGACCGAUAGUGAACCAGUACCGUGAGGGAAAGGCGAAAAGAACCCCGGCGAGGGGAGUGAAAAAGAACCUGAAACCGUGUACGUACAAGCAGUGGGAGCCUCUUAAUGGGGUGACUGCGUACCUUUUGUAUAAUGGGUCAGCGACUUAUAUUCUGUAGCAAGGUUAACCGAAUAGGGGAGCCGAAGGGAAACCGAGUCUUAACUGGGCGUUAAGUUGCAGGGUAUAGACCCGAAACCCGGUGAUCUAGCCAUGGGCAGGUUGAAGGUUGGGUAACACUAACUGGAGGACCGAACCGACUAAUGUUGAAAAAUUAGCGGAUGACUUGUGGCUGGGGGUGAAAGGCCAAUCAAACCGGGAGAUAGCUGGUUCUCCCCGAAAGCUAUUUAGGUAGCGCCUCGUGAAUUCAUCUCCGGGGGUAGAGCACUGUUUCGGCAAGGGGGUCAUCCCGACUUACCAACCCGAUGCAAACUGCGAAUACCGGAGAAUGUUAUCACGGGAGACACACGGCGGGUGCUAACGUCCGUCGUGAAGAGGGAAACAACCCAGACCGCCAGCUAAGGUCCCAAAGUCAUGGUUAAGUGGGAAACGAUGUGGGAAGGCCCAGACAGCCAGGAUGUUGGCUUAGAAGCAGCCAUCAUUUAAAGAAAGCGUAAUAGCUCACUGGUCGAGUCGGCCUGCGCGGAAGAUGUAACGGGGCUAAACCAUGCACCGAAGCUGCGGCAGCGACACUAUGUGUUGUUGGGUAGGGGAGCGUUCUGUAAGCCUGUGAAGGUGUACUGUGAGGUAUGCUGGAGGUAUCAGAAGUGCGAAUGCUGACAUAAGUAACGAUAAAGCGGGUGAAAAGCCCGCUCGCCGGAAGACCAAGGGUUCCUGUCCAACGUUAAUCGGGGCAGGGUGAGUCGACCCCUAAGGCGAGGCCGAAAGGCGUAGUCGAUGGGAAACAGGUUAAUAUUCCUGUACUUGGUGUUACUGCGAAGGGGGGACGGAGAAGGCUAUGUUGGCCGGGCGACGGUUGUCCCGGUUUAAGCGUGUAGGCUGGUUUUCCAGGCAAAUCCGGAAAAUCAAGGCUGAGGCGUGAUGACGAGGCACUACGGUGCUGAAGCGACAAAUGCCCUGCUUCCAGGAAAAGCCUCUAAGCAUCAGGUAACAUCAAAUCGUACCCCAAACCGACACAGGUGGUCAGGUAGAGAAUACCAAGGCGCUUGAGAGAACUCGGGUGAAGGAACUAGGCAAAAUGGUGCCGUAACUUCGGGAGAAGGCACGCUGAUAUGUAGGUGAAGCGACUUGCUCGUGGAGCUGAAAUCAGUCGAAGAUACCAGCUGGCUGCAACUGUUUAUUAAAAACACAGCACUGUGCAAACACGAAAGUGGACGUAUACGGUGUGACGCCUGCCCGGUGCCGGAAGGUUAAUUGAUGGGGUUAGCGGUAACGCGAAGCUCUUGAUCGAAGCCCCGGUAAACGGCGGCCGUAACUAUAACGGUCCUAAGGUAGCGAAAUUCCUUGUCGGGUAAGUUCCGACCUGCACGAAUGGCGUAAUGAUGGCCAGGCUGUCUCCACCCGAGACUCAGUGAAAUUGAACUCGCUGUGAAGAUGCAGUGUACCCGCGGCAAGACGGAAAGACCCCGUGAACCUUUACUAUAGCUUGACACUGAACAUUGAGCCUUGAUGUGUAGGAUAGGUGGGAGGCUUUGAAGUGUGGACGCCAGUCUGCAUGGAGCCGACCUUGAAAUACCACCCUUUAAUGUUUGAUGUUCUAACGUGGGCCCCUUACCGGGGUUGCGGACAGUGUCUGGUGGGUAGUUUGACUGGGGCGGUCUCCUCCUAAAGAGUAACGGAGGAGCACGAAGGUUGGCUAAUCCUGGUCGGACAUCAGGAGGUUAGUGCAAUGGCAUAAGCCAGCUUGACUGCGAGCGUGACGGCGCGAGCAGGUGCGAAAGCAGGUCAUAGUGAUCCGGUGGUUCUGAAUGGAAGGGCCAUCGCUCAACGGAUAAAAGGUACUCCGGGGAUAACAGGCUGAUACCGCCCAAGAGUUCAUAUCGACGGCGGUGUUUGGCACCUCGAUGUCGGCUCAUCACAUCCUGGGGCUGAAGUAGGUCCCAAGGGUAUGGCUGUUCGCCAUUUAAAGUGGUACGCGAGCUGGGUUUAGAACGUCGUGAGACAGUUCGGUCCCUAUCUGCCGUGGGCGCUGGAGAACUGAGGGGGGCUGCUCCUAGUACGAGAGGACCGGAGUGGACGCAUCACUGGUGUUCGGGUUGUCAUGCCAAUGGCACUGCCCGGUAGCUAAAUGCGGAAGAGAUAAGUGCUGAAAGCAUCUAAGCACGAAACUUGCCCCGAGAUGAGUUCUCCCUGACUCCUUGAGAGUCCUGAAGGAACGUUGAAGACGACGACGUUGAUAGGCCG